GCGAGUAAGACCCUGCCCUAGUGGCUCGGUCAGUCCCAUCAUAUACACCUUUAUUCGUGAACUCGUGGUUCAGCUGGACGGUGAAAGCUUUGGCGACUAGCCGUCCGUCGGUUCCGCUCUUUAUACCCUUUAUGUGAAGUCAAUGGAAAUUAUGAUAAUCUAAUA
rnacentral:misc_RNA from 1 species